CGUCGGGCAAGAAGAUCACCGUCAAGACCGGCUCGAUGCGGGCCAGCGAUCUGGCGCCGACGGUGACGCCGGCAACCUUCGGCGUCGAUGCCCAGGGCUCGGCCGAGGCGCUGCGGGAGCUCAUCGACUCGCCGCCGUUCAUGCUGGCGAGCAAGUCGGGCCUGGACGGCGUCCAGCUGAGCGGCGCCGCCAGCAUCCACUUCGAGCUCGAUGCCAAGCUUGGCCAGAACGUUCCGCCCGAGCCGCAUUUCCGCGCCCGGACCCAUAUCGACGACGCCUCGUUCUCCGGCGCGGUCGAAGGCUUCGAUUUCAGCGAAGGCAAGAUCGACAUCGAGCUCGAUGACCACGGCGUCAAGGCGCAUGGCCCGGUGAUGGUCGGCGGCCAGAAGGCCACCAUCGCGUGGGCCCGCAGCUUCGCCAGCACCGACGGGCAAGACGAGGUCAUACUCGAUGCGACGCUCGACGACAUGGCGCGGCGCAAGCUCGGGAUCGACGUGUCGGGAUUCGUCCAGGGCCCGAUCAAGGCACGGGUGUCGGGGCUGAUCGACGGGCGCAAGCUGGUCAAGGCCGAUAUCGAUGCCGACCUGUCGCGGGCCUAUGUUUUUCUCGACGUCAUCGGCUGGUCGCGGCCGCCGACCGCCAAGACCACGGCCAGCCUGUCGCUCGAUCUCACAUCGCCCAAGGCCAUCCUGGUGAAGGAUCUCAAGAUCCAGGGCAAGGACCUGAAGAUCCAGGGCACCAUGCGCAUCGCCCCCGACGGCACGAUCAUCGACGGCACGCUGCCGGUGGUCAAUCUCGACGAGCUCAACCAGGUGGCGCUCGGGCUGAAGACGGUCAAUGGCGCGCUCGACCUGUCGAUCAGCGGCGACAGCUUCGAUGCGCGCCGGCUGAUCAACCAGAUGUUCACCGCCUCGGGUCCGCCGCCAACGGCGGGGAUCCCGGUGACGGUGCAGGCCUCGGUGGCGCGGGUCUAUGCCAAUCGCGGCGAGAUCAUCGACGAGCUGAGCGGCCAGCUCGAGAUCAAUAACGGCGUGGUGCAGCGGGCCGAUCUGACGGGCCAGUUCGUCAAUGGCGGGCCGGUGACCCUGAAGAUCACGCCGGCCGGCCAGGGCACGCGCGACAUGCGGGUGGUCGGGCGCGAUGCGGGGGCGGCGCUCAGGGCCUCCAACCUCUAUUCCAAAGUGGCCGGCGGCAGCCUCGACUUUUCGGCCGUGCUCGAUGCGGGAGCGCAAUCCGGCAUCCAGCGCGGCCUGCUGGUGAUCCGGAAUUUCGAGGUCCGCAACGAGGGGGCGCUCAGCAAUCUCGACGAGCAGGGGCGCAGCAAGAAGGCGAGCGGACCGCGCCGCGACGGCCUGUCGUUCACGCGCCUGACCCUGCCGUUCUCGGCCGAUCAGCGCUUCGUCAGGAUCGGCGAUGCGCUGGUGCAGGGCUCGGAGAUGGGCGCGUCGGCCCAGGGCAUUAUCCGCAAGGCUGAUGGGCGGAUGGAUAUCGGCGGCACGAUAAUUCCCGCCUAUGCGCUCAAUGCCGCCCUGAGCGAGGUGCCGGUGCUCGGCGAGGUGCUGAUGGGCGGGCGCGGCCAGGGCAUGUUCGGGCUGAAUUUCGCGCUGCAGGGGACGAUGCAGGAGCCGCGCUUCGUGGUGAACCCGGUGUCGGCGAUUGCGCCGGGAUUCCUGCGCCAUCUGUUCUCGAUCGGCGGCGGGCAGACCAAUCCGGACGGCACUCCGGUCGGUCCAAGAAAGCCACUGCGCGAUCCGAGGGGCUAGGGCCCCAGACCCUUUUGGGAGAUCGCCGUACCCUCCCUUUUCCCUUCUCCCCCGCGAUUCGGCUUGGCCAGAAAGACCCCUCAUCCGCCCCUCCGGGGCACCUUCUCCGCGUCAGCACGGGGAGAAGGGAAAUGGGGGCGGCACCGUUCCGGGGCACCUUCUCCGCGUCAGCACGGGGAGAAGGGAAAAAAUGGGGGCGGCGCACCGUUCUUUCCCCUCGCCCCGCGUCAGCGGGGAGAGGGUGCCCGAAGGGCGGGUGAGGGGUGGUUGAGCUUGCAA
rnacentral:misc_RNA from 1 species